rnacentral:tRNA from 1 species
GUGAAUGUAGUUUUAACCCUUAAAACAUUUGCUUUGCAAGCAAAAGAUCUAGGUUUAACUUUCCUAGCCUUUACA